rnacentral:tRNA from 1 species
GGUUCCAUCGUAUAACGGUCAGUACAUAAGAUUCUGAUCCUGUGGAUAGUUCUUGUAAUCUGGGUUCGAUUCCCAGUGGGACCU